GAUGAACGCUGGCGGCGUGCCUAAUACAUGCAAGUCGAGCGAACGGACGAGGAGCUUGCUUCUCUGAUGUUAGCGGCGGACGGGUGAGUAACACGUGGAUAACCUACCUAUAAGACUGGGAUAACUUCGGGAAACCGUAGCUAAUACCGGAUAAUAUUUUGAACCGCAUGGUUCAAAAGUGAAAGACGGUCUUGCUGUCACUUAUAGAUGGAUCCGCGCUGCAUUAGCUAGUUGGUAAGGUAACGGGUUACCAAGGCAACGAGGCAUAGCCGACCUGAGAGGCUGGUCGGCCGCACUAGAGCGUAGACGCGGACCAUGCUCCUGCGGUAGGCAGCAGUAUGGUAUCUGCCGCAGUAGGCGGAAGCCUGACGGAGCAGCGCCGCGUGUGAGAUGACGGUCUUCCGAGCGUAAUGCCCUGUUUUGAGUGAAGAACAGAUUUGUAAUGUGCUGUGCACUUCUUGACGGUAACGAGUCAGAAAGCCACGGCUAACUACGUG
rnacentral:rRNA from 1 species